ACUUCAAUUGAGAAAACAGCUCCUGAUAUGGCUCCAACAGCAGCCCCUCGGACAAACCCACUCUCAGUUUCUUGGCCUAUCAAAGCUCCAGUCAUGGCUCCUAACAGGGUGCCCACUAAAGCAAAGAAGAAGGUGAAGAUCGCAGAGAAAACGUUCCCAAUGAUUGCAGAAACCGCGAAAUUGCAAACUUCUUUAACCUUUUCAACGAAAUCUCCAAAGAAAGGCAAUGAA
rnacentral:misc_RNA from 1 species